rnacentral:rRNA from 1 species
UGCAAGUCGAGGGGCAUCAUGCUUAUAGCAAUAUAAGUGAUGGCGACCGGCGCACGGGUGAGUAACACGUAUCCAACCUGCCUUUUACUCGGGGAUAGGCUUUCGAAAGAAAGAUUAAUACCCGAUGGUAUAAUAUUCCUGCAUGGGAUUAUUAUUAAAGAAUUUCGGUAAAAGAUGGGGAUGCGUUCCAUUAGGCAGUAGGCGGGGUAACGGCCCACCUAGUCUUCGAUGGAUAGGGGUUCUGAGAGGAAGGUCCCCACAUUGGAACUGAGACACGGUCCAAACUCC